UUGACCUCAAAUCGGGUGAGACUACCCGCUGAACUUAAGCAUAUCAAUAAGCGGAGGAAAAGAAACUAACAAGGAUUCCCCUAGUAACUGCGAGUGAAGCGGGAAAAGCUCAAAUUUAAAAUCUGGCGGUCUUUGGCCGUCCGAGUUGUAAUUUAGAGAAGCGUCUUCCGCGCCGGACCGUGCACAAGUCUC
rnacentral:rRNA from 1 species